UACGUAGGGGGCAAGCGUUGUCCGGAUUUAUUGGGCGUAAAGAGCGUGUAGGCGGCCAGAUAGGUCAGCUGGUGAAAACUCGAGGCUCGAACCUCGAGAUGUCGGCUGAAACCAUCUGGCUAGAGUCCGGAAGAGGAGAAUGGAAUUCCCGGUGUAGCGGUGAAAUGCGCAGAUAUCGGGAGGAACACCUAGUGGCGAAGGCAGCUCGCUGGGACGUUACUGACGCUGAGACGCGAAAGCGUGGG
rnacentral:rRNA from 1 species